GAAAAUGGAAAGGGCCCAGGACUCCAAGAUGGCCGAGGAAUUCCGGGAGCUUUACCAAAGAAUUCAAGGUCUGGAAUACAAAUUACAUGGGAGGCUGUGGUCCCAAGAGCACAACCUUCAGCUCCUCAGAGCAGAAACUGGGAUGGAACAAGGUGUGCUGAUAGAAAGUGCAUCAGGAGACAAGGGCACUGAUAGAGAGGCAGAGACAGCUCCCAAGAUGGUGAAGUAUUGAUCAACAAAAUUAUAGUCUGGCACUCAUUACAUUUCUCUGGAGCUUGGCCCCCCAGCCCCUGCACUCCCUGGAUUUGCUGUGUUGGGAAGUGCUCAUGCUGCCGGAAGACUGAGAUAAUUUUUCUGGCUUUUCUCCCUCGUGUGAGCUGAAGAGCCACACG